rnacentral:rRNA from 1 species
GAGAAUUUCCUCGAGGAUGCGGACGAGUGGUACGAUCCAGUGGCUGACCUCGCAUCCCCGGGCGACGUGGACGCUCCGCGCCAGGUUCCGCCGGGAAAGCCCGGCCCUCAACGACGCCCGCUGCGGAGACCUCCGCCCGGGCGACCAGCUCUGCCUCGCCUGCGAUAUCUACGGCGACGCCGACGAGCUCAAGUACUACACGCUGUCCUUGAGACAGUGGAGAAGGCAGCGCACGGCACCGUGGAUGGCGUGGAGCGGUGCGCAUGCCGUUUCACCGUGCGCUGGACGGAGGGGCCGCGCUGCCGUUGCCAGGACAAGGUGGGCGUCGAGGUGGUCUGCUUCGUGCAGGAGUCACCGAUCCAAGAUCCGGUGUUGACCGAGUUCCUGGAUGGUGUGAGAAACAGGUUCGGCGAGGACCAAGGGGGGGCGACGGUAGCGUCUCAACAGGCAGUCCCGACCCGGACACCAUCAGGCAGCCGACGAAUACUUUUUUCCUUGAAGACGGCAUCAGAACAUUUGACCGGAAGAUCGUGA